ensembl:lncRNA
AACAGUGUGUUGUAUCAGUUGUUUGACAAGCACUGUCAUAUGUCAUAGUGUUUUCCUCUACUCCUCUGAAAAGUUUACAUCUGUGUUGUUUUUGUGUUCUUGUUGUUGUUUGUGUUUUGUUAUUGAUUCUCAGAUUUUAAGCCAUCCUCAGCUCUGUAUUCAGUGAAGGCCUUCAGGAACCCAUACAGCAUGACAUGUCAGACUGUGGCUACUGGAGAUGGACACGUCUUUCCUGCAGAAAUAUUUUUGAUAAAGAAAGUUUACAGAAUGCAUGAAAUGAAUUAAAAAAGACAUUCAUCUAGACUGGAAAUAUACCCUAAAGGCAUCCAUAGAGGAAUGACCACAACACAAAAUCUGAGUGAAACAGUUUCCCACCUUUCCAGCACUUCACAUGCUUGGGGGGAGAUAGGUCUGGUUGGGACCCUGCACUGCCACUGUGUUCUGAACAUAGAGAGAAGGGGAAGUACUGACUCUUCUGGGUUGCCACAAAUACGAUUUCAUGUUUACCUCAGUUGUACAGCCACCAGCUGGGGGACUUGUCUUACCAAUGUGUUGGGAUGUCAGCCAUCAGAUGAAGUAGGAGGCAGCAGUCACAUCAGAAUCUGGACAGAUGUAAUCUCCUGAAGAGAUUUUAGCAUCUUCUCCAGCCUGGAAGGCUGAAAUAGUCCAUCAUAAUUUCCAUCAGCUGUACCGGACUUGUACUCAGCAUUAAAAGACACUGAAUCCAUGUAAUAUCAUUCUUCAUGCUUGCAGCCACAAUGACAAGCCCCUCCUGCAAGACUGCUGCACUUUGGUCUAUGCUGUACCAAUUUUUGACAUCUAGCCAGGUCUAAACUGGAGGUUCCUUGGCGUAUCAGCCAGGGGGAUGCAUCAAUUCCUCAGGUCACCCUUCUCCGCUUAUAGAUGGGCUCUAAUCUCAGGCUGUGCAUGCAUCGUCUCCUGCCUUCACACUGCAGGCAGUGAGGCUGGACUAGGCCUGAUGAGGGCAGCCAGUGACAAGCUAUUGGUGUGCAUAUGAGAAACCAGUUCUCCACUGGAUGGAACUGGGAACUACUACAUGGGGCAGGGCAUUUACCCACAGAGUGCAUAGGGGUCCUUGUCCCUCUGUACACCCUAGCAGUUAGGGUAAAUAUUUUCAAGCUCACCACCCACCCAGCCCAAACCAAUUUUCCUUGAAAAGAAACCCAGUCCAGAAGGGAGAUGAAGUAAAUCCUAGUAUAUCUGCUAGGUUGGGCAACAGUGAAGAGUUGCACUGGGUGCCUGUUUCACAAUGCAGGUACAAUUAUAGUUGUACAAGUCUACCUAUAUAUCCUUUUAUAGCUUUAUUUCAUGAGAAUAACAAGCAACAUGGCCACAAACAGAUCUGCUUUUAGCAGAAGACUGAACCAGAAAGCACAGAGCUCCCUUCCCAUCACUGCUGUGAUUUUGGUUCUAUACCUGCUCUGUUCAGGAAGUUUAGAGGAUAUCUAUAGUAGUAACAUACUCAUAGGUCUACGCGCACCCACAGCAAUAGAUAAUACAUUUUUUCUAUAGCCUUGACUUGAUGUUGUCAAAGAGGUCAGAGAACUUCAUCAAGAAUGAGGUAGAUGAAAAAUGGAGUCCCGUAUAUUUUUAAAAGUCUCUUUUGUAAGUCUCAAAACCAACAUGAGGCAAAGUCACAUGCCAUUUCAAAAAUGGGUAAAGUGAAGUGAUGCAACCCAGAAGUGGUGAUGAGUAACACUGCCAUAGGCUAAGCAGUGGUCCAUACACUCCUGUCAAGAUGGCAUGUGGCUUGGUAAAUGUCCAACUCCACCAUCUGCAGAGACUGAAACUCAAUUGCUGUUAACGAGAAUGAAAUUAUGGCAAUAUUAGUGUAAUUAAAAUGAGAAGAAUCCUAGUUCAAGGAUGAUUGAUGCCCAUGGAAAGCUUUGGGUGGAGGCAGAAAAGGCUGGUCCAAGAGUGUUGGCUCAGACUUUAUUUACCUACACAAUUUCCCCAGGUACUGGAGGAAAUGUCCU